UCUGCUGAUUAAGAUCAUGUGAUAUGACUGAAAGCUCCAGACCAAACACUAAAUGGACUUUGUGUCUACAAGCCUUUUACAGUCAACAGUCACCAGCAGGACUUCAUAACAUGUGACCAACCACAGAUUUGGACACCAGAGAUGGUUGCUGGGAGAUGAGGAGUGACAGCGAGUGGAGCGAGGGCUGGUGGGGAGAUGUCAGCGGUGAGAAGUUCAGCAGAGUUCAACUUCAUGCAAAUGCAGUGACAAG